AAGGGGUACAGAAAUUGGAAAACGUCAAAGCAUAACUGGCUGGCUGUAUCGCUUUUCAAUCUUUGUUUCGUGGCCUGAAUGGCUAGAGGACCAACCUUUAUCCCGCGACCUCUUCCACGUUCGAUAUCCUUUCACGACGCAAAAUGAAUGACGCUGGAAAUAGAGGACUGCCACUUCGAGUGGGAUUGAUGUACGAUUCCGAUUAAAUGAUCCACUGUGAAAUUCCGUGCAGAGUCAAGUACGAAGUCAUAAAGAAAUUAGUUAUUAGAUUGGAAAAAAUAACUCACAUAUGCUAUGUACUUUUCCUUGAUCAAAUUAGCUCUUUAAUUUCUAUCGGACAUUCUAGUGAUUGGUUUUUAGAAGCUUUUUAAGAAGUUUGUAGGUUUUACAUAAAAUGGCCAUUAUCGGUCCAAUCGUAUUUCUCAAAUAAAAAUAUAAAGGAGUUGUUAUUGAUAUACACGAUUUUCUGUUUCAUUGUUUAAACAUUUUCUAAAAACAUUAGAAGUCUUUCUGUUUAUCGAAAUAAAAAUAAGAUUGUGUAGUAUCGUGGACGAAAGGCCUAAGAGAUAUCGGGCGAACUAUAAACAAUGUCGCGAGAAAGCCAAAGUGCCGACAGACCUAACAAUGUAUUGUCGGUCCUUCGAUCGAAUACUUUCGUGGAAAAGGCCUGCGUGACCCUGGCCACGAGCGGUUGCGGAACACGUGCGUGGUGGGGCUAAGACAAAAGACAAGGGGUUGCUAAGGAACAAAGACGAAUUAACAGUUAGUGCGAGUUGAGAAGCUAGACAGUGUAAAUCGAGAAGUCAGGGAGAUAGUGUUGCUAGCGUUGUCAAGAGUGUGGUCCGCGUGAAAGAGGAAACGUUGGAUUCGUGGUGACGAGAGCAAAUUAACUAUCAAGUUAUCUUAAUUAUAAUACGUUAUUGUGAUUAAUUCACGUUAAACAAUCCUCGUUUCCUAUUUAACCAACAUAUUUUUAAUUCAUUUAUUGUAAAUAAACUAAUUGUAGUAAAGAUCCUACAAUUGAAGAAUCAAAAAUUAGGAUAAAAAUUCAAGGAUCAUAGCAGGCUUUAAGUUUUAUAGAAAAGUGGUAAUAAAAACGACAUUGAAUUUCAAUAUGUUAGUAUACACCUUUGUUCAUAAGUAUAUGAAACACCUAUUAGUUACGAAACGGAAUAACUGGUGACUGACCUAGAUUAUCAUCUUUAAAGUGUUAACCUUUGGAUCCGCAAUUCUUCUGAAAGUUACUAUUUAAUAAUAAUUUAACAAGUAUUAUUGAUUUGCCAGUAAAAAGCACAUUGCAAGUUGUACAUAAGAAAGAUUAGAUUAAAAAUAAAUAAAUAAAUAAAAAUUGGACUAGAAUAAGUGAAAAAAUCUAUAAUUAUACAGAAUACGCUUAUAUUAUAGUUUUAGCCUUUGUUUAUUUUCGUCUCGGUCGUUAAAUGUUUAUUUUAUGACAAUAAGAUCACAAGCUUUAAACAUAAAGUAUCUGUAUGGUUCAGAAUUGACUCAACCUCCACCACCCGAGAGUUGAGAAGUAUCAAGGAAAAGAAAUUUUACGAUAUUAAAAAGUUAUUUCAUUUACUACAUGAAAGAAACUGUGUAAUACUAAUGUUUCAUUAUAUAACUAAGAUUUUUAUUAAGAGCUAUAACAUAUUUUAAAAUAUAUAAUUCAUUAAUCUGAUUUAAUAUUUUUCGCGAAAAUCAUGAAAUUUAUUACCACAUUUUUAAAAAACUUCAUUUCUUUAUCUUGGAUGCAAAGAGUACAUUAAAAUUUCUUUGCCCAAAAUAUGUUACUUCUUAUUACUCCAAUGUCGUCAGUUGUGACAAGUUUGGGCAGGUUUAUGAUAGGUUUAUAUUAUGUUUUUGUUUAUGUAAAAAGCUGGUUCUGGAUUAGAUUUCGGUUAGGGUAGAUUUGAAUUACCUUUAGUUAGGUUUAGUUUACGCUUUUCUUAGGUCUAUGUUAAGUUUAUUCAGGUUUGAAUUAGGCUUGGGUCAAUCAGUCCUUACCAUUCCAAUGCUGUCAAUUGACAUAUAAUAUUUCUAUUCUAGUAAUUAGAGAAAUGGAAAUUAAGUAAACAGUUUUACCCAUUGAAUAUAGCUAUAAUAUAGCGAGUAUUUUAGUUCAGAUAUUCUAUAUAAUUUUGCAUAUUACAUACAUUUUCGGCAUCAUUUUACUUUUAACUUUUCAAUGCAACGAGUUAAAGUAAAAUGUUGAUUUGCGUUUGUUAUAAUUGCUAUACAUUGGAUUGAGAUUAUUUGAUCUUGAUUUCCAUUACCAAAACGAAUGAUUCACUCCGCGUGUUUCCCCGACAAAGCGUCUCUGUAAACCAAAUACAUAAACUCUGCCACAAAAACUUGCUCGAACCAUAUUUUAAACAUAUCUUCCCCACCACCGAACUCGUCUAAAACGUUCCGUUCGACCUACCAGCCGGUCGAUCCAGCAAACAGAAACAAAAAGAAACGAAACGGACGACGUAUCCGGCAACGAUGCGCCGAUUGAUGGCCAUUGUCCUCACGCGACUCGAGGUCCGGGACGAUUCUCUUCUCCGCGUGUUCUCUGCACCGGCAAUGAUGUAUGGCGCGACUGCACUUUAGCGACUCAGCCGGUGGAAUUUCGUCCCCCGGGAGCUGGCAGACGUUUAGAAGGAAAAAAACAGGCGACAAGGAUCAAAUAGCAGGCUUGAACAGCGACGGUAUGCAUUUGUAACGAUUUCGGGGUUAAGACGGCUUGUACACGUUACUAUCCGUAAACAGAGGGAUACCUUGGUCGGGUUUUAGUAAUAAUACAUAUAUUACCGUUCUCAAAUAUCUGAACUCCGUGAUCGAAUAAUAAAUAAACUCUCUUCUUUCUCUGCGGAUGUUUCUUUGCGGCUCACGAAAGUAGUCGAAUGCCUACAUAUGCAAACUUGGAUGGCCGAAAUAAUGUACAUUAAAGUAAUUUGUUUAGACAAGCAGAUAUCAAUAGGAAGAUGGAAGUCUUAAGAUUAUGUCAGUGAAAUUUGAAAAGGAUUCAAUAACGUAGGUAGAAGUUAUGAUACAUUUAUUAGAAACACGCAUUGUAAAUGACUCACAAAAAUAUUUGAACGCUACAUAUAUUAUUAAAUUAUUUAAUAUUAAUAUUUUGUUGGACCACCUUUAGCAGCAAUAAUGAAUCUCAAUCGACGUUCCAUACUGUAAACCAAUGAUUUUGUAAAGCUACACUCAACGGAGUUUCAUAUUUCUAUAAUUUUAUCUUUCAAUACUUGCUUUGAGGUUAUCUGAAAUUUAUUUAACCUUUUUCCGAUUUCAGCCCAUAUAUCUUCAAUCGGAUUUAUGUCUGGAUUUUGCGGUGGAAUAAUUAACAUGUGUGGUGUGUUAUAUACGAUCCAUUCUUUCACAAUUCUAGCAGUAUGCUUAGAAUCAUUAUCUUGUUGAAGUAGAAAUCUUCCAAUAAUCCUAAUUUAUGAACUUUAUUUAUUCUUUAAGGUUAUUUUUUAAAAUAUUUAAAUACUUACAUUUAUCAAGUAUUCCAUCAAUAAAUAUCAAAUUUCCGGUACCACUGACAGCCAUACACUCCCACACCAUGACUGAUCUACGUCCGUGUUUUACUGUUUGAUGUAAAUGUCGAAUUUCCAAUUCCGUAUUUGGUUUUUUCCACACAUAAUUUUGACCAUCCGAGCCAAAAAUGUUAAACUUUGACUCGUCCGAAAAGAUGACUUUAUCCCAAAAAGAAUUAUCUUUAUUAAUAUAUUUUUGCAAAAGUCAAUCAUUUUUUUUAUUUUUUUUUAUUUUUUAUUUUUAUUUACUGCAUUAAUAUAUGGCUUCUUUCGCGGUACUCUGCCAUGAAAAUCAUUGUUUCAUAAGAUUCGUCGACAUAAUUCCGGGUGAACUGCUUUAUGAAACAUAUCAGCUACCAUACUUGCGAGUUGAGGAGCGAAUAUAGUAGGAUUUUUUUUUUAAUUCGCGAAUGAUAACUUUCUCCUCUCUUCCAGUCAGUUUCUUUGGUCGACUUGAUCGAGCUUUGUAUGCAAGUGUUCCCUUAUUCUUUGACUUUUUUAUGAUAUAAUGUAUUGUAGACUUACUUCUGUUCACAAUUCCGGCAAUCUCGUUAUAUGAUUUGCCGUCCUCAUAUAAUAGAAUAUUAUAUUUCUCUUUCACACUUUUGUUUCAGACUUUUUGGUAUUCAUUUUAAAUACUAUUAUGCACACUUUUACUGUUACUGAAACCAUAUCUUAACAUCAAGUGAACGUAGCAAUAUUUUCAUUUAGCAAUGAUGUUUACAUUCGGUGCAAAGGAAGAUGAAAAACUAUCAACAAUGUUACAGCGUUCGAAUACUUUUGUGAGACACUACAGAGGUUAAAUAUGGAAAAAGUAUAUGGCAAUUAUAUAAAAUAUAUAAAUAUGCACAAAAAAUAUGGAAAAUAUGUCAGCAAUAUGUAUGAUAUAAGUUUUAGGAUCAAAUAUUACCUAAGAUAUAACAAAGUUGACAUUUUACAAAAAAUAUCGCGGAUAUUCAAAUCUCCAAUUAUCUCUAGAGUCCACCCCUUGGACAAUCCACUUCAAAUUCCCUAAAUCCCUGAACGGCCGCGCAACGAAACCUGUUAAAUAACUUGAAGUAAAUAUCACAUUGCGUUAAUUUUACACGGCAAAGAUAGAGCGACGUAACCGAGGUAAGGCACAAAAGAAGUUGAUAUCGAAAUUAUUUAUCAAGGAAGAACAUCGUAUCUGCAUAUUGUUACACUACUUUUUAGUUUAAUCUGGUAAGUAUUUUCCCACCCAGUAUGAUGAAUAUUAUUGUAAUUCUUUUAUUUAGUCUGUUGGAUUCAGAAUAUGUAAAAGGAAACGGAAAUCCAUCAGGCAAGUGCUACCCGUCAACAAAGAAAAUGAAAUCUCCUUUAACCCACCCUCACCAAUUCUCUACUCUCUUAAAACGUGAGCAACAUCAGGCACAUGCGGUUAUUCUUCGAAUUCUUUAAAAAUACCGUACAAAGAACAACCAGAUCUUAUCAUUCUCUAAAAUGCCCGAACAACGCCGGCCACACGCGGCUAGUAGUAUAUGAAUAGUAAAUAAAAAAAUAAAUUCUAGUAACGAAUUCUGAGAGUCUUACAAUCCUUAAAUAAUAAUAAUAAAAAAUAAAUAAUUUGAGUAAUCCUAAAAAUUUAUAAAUUUAAAAAGAUACUAAUUCUGAAAGUCCGCGAAAUCUAAAAAUCUGAUUAAAAAUUCUUGAAAUUCUUAAAAUUCUAUUUGUUGCUAAAUCCUUAGAUAAGUCUUCUUCAAGUAACGAAUGAUCGAAUUGUUGUGCCGGUCUGGCCCUGUCUGCCUUAAAUUUAAAUGUAAGUUUAUAAUACACUCACAUACUACUAUUGAAUAAGCGCUAAAUAUUAAAGGUUUAAACAGCAAUCAUGUUUUUCGAUGUUCGCGUUGGCAAUAAAAUUGAUAUGUCCAAAGUAAACUAAAUUAAAUAAAAUUAAUUAAAUUAAAACCUAUUUAAUAAACUAAAUUAAAUAAACUAUUAAGCCUCCGAAAAGUAUAAAUCUAAAAAUGUUUUAUUAUUAUAUAUUCAUUUCUAAAGUCAACAAUACCAAUGUAUAUUAUUAAGAUAAGUUACAAUUAUAAACCUAAUUUACUUCCUUAUGCAAAAAGUAUUAGAAACUGUUGUAAAAAUAUGAAACUGCCCCAAAGGUACAUAUAAUAAAAACUUAUGUGAACAUGUUUAGAUACUUAAUAUUCGACUUCAAUAUCUAAAAAUUCUUAAAAACGUUAAAGAUGGAUCUUUUAUCUUGUUUCCGUCAUUCGUGUAGUUAAAACAAAAUAUAAUUCUUUGUCUGCUUCCGUCGGAAGAAACUCGAGGGUCAAAACGAAAGGAAGAAGUGGAAAAAAACUUCAAAGGCUGCAUCUCGAUACCACUCAACGAGAAAUGUAUCCAGAGUAAACUGGCGGCUUGGAAACGGGUAGAUGUGGAUCGUGUUGUCUUUGUACUGGAACGAUGGAGCGAUUGAUCAGGAAAUAUUUGCAUGAGAAACGCGUACAUGGAACAGUUGCGCGAUCCUCUUCGAUGGAAGGAAGAAUAUCGAAGACGUCGAUCGACGACCCACUUCAGCGUGAGUGGAUUGCUAGUCAUUUGCAACGAAGAUAAUAAUAUAGCGCGUUAUUUAUACGGAUUUGACAAAAUGCAGAUAUUGGUAAUAGCGAAAGAGCAAUAACAAUCGAAUUUUUUACAAUUUGAAGAAACUGAUAUGUCAUUUCAAACAUUUGGUUUCAAUUCGUGAAAUUAGUGAUUCGUAUUAUGUGAUAGUUAUAAAUAUUGAAUUGUUCGGAAAAUUCACGGUGAAAUUGAAAAAACUUUUCAACUGGUAUUAACGACGACUGAAAUACAAAAUUUUUAUCAAAUAGAUCAAAAUAACAUUAGAAAGAUACUGUCCUAUCUGGACAAUGCAGUGCUAAUUCAAUAUCGAAAUUUUUAAUUAUUCCAACUUAUUAUGUGUAAUAAAGUUCUUUCUGGUAUCAACAGCGAUUUUCAUACCCAUUAACGCGACUAUAGAGCGUAAUUCAUCAAGAAUUCCAAUUUCACCAUGACAGCUUUCCGGAAUCCAUCAUGAAUCGAAGAAAAAAUCCGUCAGAGAAACCAGUUUCUCGUAGAUAGUAGGGAAUUAUCCGAAUCCAAUUAAUUACCACUGACAUGGGUUGUGCACCAGUGGACUAAUACGUAACGAGCUGAAAUUAGGCUUUGUAACACUUUUAUUUAAAAACAGGCUGCUAAGUUUCACGUGUAUCACGUGAUCAUCCGUCGUAACGUGGGCGUAAGUUCCGCCAGAGGUGAAACUUUCUGAUUUAUCAAACUGAAAAUCUAUUUGGCUCCUCUAUUUGUUCACCAACUUUUAAUUGCAUCGCCCGCUUUAUCCAUGGCGUCCAUGAAAACGUUAUAGACAAGCUUGAGCACAUUUUAUAUGGAAUAAAACAAAAAAUAACAUUUUGAAAUAAUGAAUUAUUUCAACUGAUUUGUUAUUUUAUUUUAUGCAUAAUAUAGAAAAAGUAACUUUUUUUUAUGUGAAAUACAAACAGAGCAUUUCUGAAUAAUUUCUCAUUCCAAUCAAUUAAAUUGUUCAAAGAAAAUAAUAAAUAAUCUGAUACAUAA